rnacentral:rRNA from 1 species
UACACUCCUGCGGGAGGCAGCAGUGGGGAAUUUUGGACAAUGGGCGAAAGCCUGAUCCAGCAAUGCCGCGUGUGUGAAGAAGGCCUUCGGGUUGUAAAGCACUUUUGUCCGGAAAGAAAUCCUUGGCUCUAAUACAGUCGGGGGAUGACGGUACCGGAAGAAUAAGCACCGGCUAACUACGUGCCAGCAGCCGCGGUAAUACGUAGGGUGCGAGCGUUAAUCGGAAUUACUGGGCGUAAAGCGUGCGCAGGCGGUUUGCUAAGACCGAUGUGAAAUCCCCGGGCUCAACCUGGGAACUGCAUUGGUGACUGGCAGGCUAGAGUAUGGCAGAGGGGGGUAGAAUUCCACGUGUAGCAGUGAAAUGCGUAGAGAUGUGGAGGAAUACCGAUGGCGAAGGCAGCCCCCUGGGCCAAUACUGACGCUCAUGCACGAAAGCGUGGGGAGCAAACAGGAUUAGAAACCCGUGUAGUCCCAUG